UACGUAGGGUGCGAACGUUUGUCCGGAAUUAUUGGGCGUAAAGGGCGCGUAGGCGGCCAUUCAAGUGACGGGUGAAAGCCCUCGGCUUAACCGAGGAACUGCCCUGUCAGACUGGAUGGCUUGAGACCGGGAGAGGUGAGUGGAAUUCCGAGUGUAGAGGUGAAAUUCGUAGAUAUUCGGAAGAACACCAGUGGCGAAGGCGGCUCACUGGACUGGUAUUGACGCUGAGGUGCGAAAGCGUGGGGAGCAAACGGG
rnacentral:rRNA from 1 species